AACGAACGCUGGCGGCAUGCCUAACACAUGCAAGUCGAGCGCGCCCUUCGGGGUUAGCGGCGGACGGGUGGGUAACGCGUGGGAACGUGCCCUUUUCUACGGAAUAUCCUCGGGAAACUGAGAGUAAUAACGUAGACGCCCUAUGGGGGAAAGAUUUCGCGGAAAAGGAUCGGCCCGCGUUGGAUUAGGUAGUUGGGAGGGUAAUGGCCUGCGAAGCCGACGGUCCAUAGAUGGUUUGAGAGGAUGGGCAGACACACUGAGACUGAGACACGGUCCAGACUCCUACGCGAGGGAGGAGUGGGGAAUCUUAGACAACGGGGGCAACCAUGAUCGAGCCAUGGCGCGUGAGUGAUGAAGGCCGUAGAGUUGUAAAGCUCUUUAAGCUGGGAAGAUAAUGACGGUACCAGAAGAAGAAGCCCCGGCUAACUCCGUG
rnacentral:rRNA from 1 species